UUCCACACCCUAAACUAUGCAGACUAGCCAUUGGGGCAUCGACCCUCCGGUGGCGAAGCCAACGCGUUAAGUCUGCCGCCUGGGAAGUACGAUCGCAAGAUUAAAACUCAAAGAAAUAGGCGGGAAUUUGCACAAGCAGUGGAUCAUGUGGUUCAAUUUCGACUCUAAGCGAGGAACCUCACCAGGGCUUGAAAUCCAGAUGCAAGCCUCCAGAAACGGAGGCCCCUUCGAGGGUUCUGGACAGGUGCUGCACGGCUGUCGU
rnacentral:rRNA from 1 species